rnacentral:lncRNA from 1 species
GUCUGGCCUUUCUACCAUAAAGGCCUGAUUGGUGGAGUGCUGCAGAGAUGGUUGUCCUUCUGGAAGUUUCUCCCAUCUCCACAGAGGAACUCUGGAGCUCUGUGAGAGUGACCAUCGGGCUCUUGGUCACCUCCCUGAGCAAGGCCCUUCUCCCCCGAUUGCUCAGUUUUGCCAGGCUGACAGCUCUAGGAAGACUCUUGGUGGUUCCAACCUUCUUCCAUUUAGGUGUGUGCUGUCUGGCACUGGUCAAGUAGCCAUUGACUUCAGACUUUGAACUGUGACCCUGAAGCUGUACUCCUGAGGUUCUCCAGGAUGGCAGGGUGAGGGGCUGACACGAUGGUGCAUGAUGGAGGGGACACAAUAUCAGAUAUGUUCUAUGUACAGAGUCCAGCAGCAAAGAACAGAGUCUUACUCCAGCUGCUACUCUUUGGACAGUGAUGACUGUGAGACCAGAACCAGGAAGUCUCAACGUUUCCUGCAGUGGAACUUCCUCCAAGACCAGAGCUGAUCAAAAACCCAGAUGAGAAGAGGCACCCUGCCCUGACUGUAGACUUCACCUUCAAGGCCAUCAGAAAGACACUGGAGAAGCUGGGGAAGGAUGAUCUGAGGAAGUUUAAGAUCAUGCUGUGGAAGCGUUACCCAGAGUUGUUCAGUGCUCCUCCCCAGGGCAUGGACAUGGUGACUUGGUGGACAGGCUGCUGGAGUGUUAUGACCUAGAGGUGGCCCUGCAGCUCACCAAGGCCCUGUCGAAGGACAUGGGCCUCAAGCGCCUGGCUGACUUCCUCAGGGACAUUUGCAAAAGAG